CGGCACCUGGUUCUCACGUGCGCGCUUCAUGUCGUUUUCCUUCCAGGACUCAGUUCUCGGUGUCACCUCGCUACCACGCACCGCGGCACUGGCCUUGGUGGCCGUCUAAGGUAGUGAGGCUUUAAGACUUGAAAGAACUUGGUCCGUUGGCUGGAUGUCACGUUUGGUGGUAAAAAGCAAGUUUUCUCGUUGUCUUUGAUGCCCCAGAGAAGCAGGGUGACCUGGGUGUGACCCAGCAGGGCAGGGGAGAGUUCUGAGACUGAAGUUGUGUCGCUUGCAGUGUCUGCACCGCUGGGAGUCCGAGAGACACCUCCACAGGCCCCACUGUCCAUGCACGCACCGACGCGGCCCUGCAGGCAGAGAGCAUGGUGCUCGGGCACCCACGGUGACUGUGGGCAGAGGCCAGCAGGGUGUGCACUGUCGCGACUUAAUCCACCUGCGCUGUGGCGGCAGAACGCUGUGAGCGUCCAGCAUGUGUGGGGGCCGCAGGCAAACUUCAGCUUCCCCGAAAGGCUGCUGAGCCUGUCUCGGUGGCGCCCAGCUCACCGCCAUGUGCGGAUGUCCGUCCACGUCUCCAUCGUGUGCCUUUGGGAUGGUUUUCUGUGAGCCGGGCCCCCGGCCCAGGGGACGAACAAGUAGGGGUGGCAUCAUCACGCUUCCCUGCGUGAGGCCCGCGCCGUUUCGAAUUCUCCGUCGCGUGAGUGAGUGAGUGAGGGCCUGGAGUCACAGCCCACGGCGUGUUGUCAGGCGGGUGGACUUUGGCCGGCGGCUGCUUGAGAACUCACAUCUGAGGGGACUUUGAGUUUGAUGAGGGGGGUUCCCCCGUGGAUCUUAGCCGUGGCCGUGCAGCGAGGUCCGUGUGUGCCUUCUCCUGGCCCGGUUGUUCCUGUCUAUGUGAGUCAGGGCUGAUCUCAUACAUCAUUUCCUCCCUUUCAUCAUUUUCACUCCUCUGUGUUUUCUCUGAAGCCAUUUGAGAAAGAAUCAUCAGCUCCUUCCCCUCCACCAAACUCCACCCCCUAGGCUGCCCCCACAGGAAAACACACUUUUCUCUUUGUUAAUUUCCUUUAAACGUUGUUGGCUAAUUCAAGGUUUUCAUUUAUUGAAACUAUUUUGAUGAUUUACAUUUUUUCUAAAACAAUUUUUUGCAUAGCUUAGAAAUUUCUUGCUCCUAAAGCUUUUGUCUUGUAUGAUUUACAAAAUCUUGAUCGUAUCUGCAUCAUAUAUAGACACUUUCUUGACAGAAUCAUUUAUUUCUGGUUCCUUUCUUGAUCCGUCAUGCUACACAGUAACGUAUAUCUCUUUCAGUAAGCAGCUGUCAGUGUUACAGAUUAUUUCAGUUCUUUCCCUCAUGAAUUUCUACGGUCAUCUUUUUUUACAUACAUUUCCUUCUGUCAUUUUUUUUAGUUUAUUGAAUAGUUUUUUGUUUUGUCAGCUGUAUUGUCAUAUAAUUACACACACUAAGAUUCACCAAUUUUAAGUGUACAAUUUGAUCCGUUUUGGUAAAGCACACACCUUUUGUGCCUCAUCAGUCCCCCUCUUUUCUCCCUGGCCCAGGCCAGCCGCAGAUGUGCUUCCGGUCGCUGUAGCUUUGCCUCUCUUAGAAUUUCACAUGAGGACUCUUGGAGCAUUUUGUCUGUGGUUUCUCACUUCUUCCUGGCAGCAUCUUUAUUUUAAAUUUUAUUUUGAAUGGACAAGUAAUAUUUGCGUAUACAGGGUACAGCAAGAUGUUUCGCUAUGUGUGUGUUGAGGAAUGAUUAAGUCCUGUGGUGUGGAUACUGUGGGGCUAUAGCUGUGUGGCUGGCCAAGGUGUGGAUACCGUGGGGCUCGCUGUGUGGCUGGCGGGGUGUGGAUACUGUGGAGCUCGCGUGUGGCUGGCCGGGGCGUGGUGUCUGUGGGGUUCACUGUGUGUCUGGCAGGGUGUGGUUACUGUGGGGCUCGCCGUGUGGCUGGCUGGGGCGUGGUGUCUGUGGGGUUCACUGUGUGUCUGGCGGGGUGUGGUUACCAUGGAGUUCACUGUGUGUCUGGCGGGGUGUGGUUACUGUGGGGCUGGUGGGGUGUGGAUACUGUGGCGCUCACGUGUGGCUGGCCAGGGCGUGGAUACUGUGGGGCUCACUAUGUGUCCCUGGCCGAAUGGGCAGUUUGUUCUUUCUAUCACUGAGUAGCUUCUGCUGUGUGUGUGCUCCAUCUCUCCCCUGUUCCGGGGUCGAUAGACGUCUGGUUGCUUUGGUUUUUGCCUGUUGUGAGUAAAGCUGCUGUGUGUCUGUGCACUGAUUUACGCAGACAUGCUUGCGUUUUCCUGAGGUGAUUAAUACCACAGAGGUGAGCUCUGCCUCAUCUGGUGGCCACAUGUUUAGUUUUGUAAGAAGCUGUAAAACUGCUUCCAGGGCCCAGGAGUGGUGGCUCACUCCACUAAUCCCAGCACUUCGGGAGGCUGAGGUAGGCAGAUCACCUGAGGUCAGGAGUUCGAGGCCAGCCUGGCCAACAUGAUGAAACCCCAUCUCUACUAAAAAUACAAAAAUUAGCCAGGUAUGGUGGCGGGCGCCUGUCAUUCCAGCUACUCGGGAGGCUGAGACAGGAAAAUCGCUUGAACCCAGGAGGUGGAGGUUGCAGUGAGCCAAGAUCGCACCACUGCACUCCAGCCUGGGCAACUAAGCAAGACUGUGUCUCUAGGCAAAAAAAAAACAAAAAAAAAAAAAACGUGCUUCCGGGGUGGCCCUGAGUGACGCAUUUCCAGGCAGCAGCGUUGACCCCUGCGGGCACGUGGCCACACGCUUUGCCUUUAGCCGUUCUGCGUGUGUGCAGGCGUCCCGUCCUGGCUGCACUCCUCAUUUCCCUGAUGUACGUGUUGACCACCUUACGUGUUUCUUUCUCAUCAGUUUGCCUUUUUUUCAUUUUGGGGCAGCUGUGUUGAGAUAUAACUGAUGUGGGAUGCAUGGUGCGUGUGGAAGGUGCAGUUCAAUGAGCUUUGACGUCCGUACCCACCCGUGAAACUAUCCACAGCACCAAGACAAUAGGUGUCCCUGCAUCCUUGCGCUUGAGCGGGCACGUGCGCUGGACUUUUCUCUGCUGCUUUCUGACGCACACCUGCCCUCAUCCCACGCUACCUCAGGCCUCCUUUCUGUCAAUAUAGAUUAGCCGGAAUUUUCUGGAAUUUUAUGUGAACAGAAUCGGACAGCAGGCACUUUUUUUAUUAUGGGAAAAUUCACAUAACAGAAUUCACCACCAUAACCAUUUGGAGCACAGAGCUCGGAGAUGUUUGUUGCAUAUACAGCACGGUGUUCCAUGUGCGUGUGUGGAGGGUCGGAUCGCGUGGUGUUCCCUGUGCAUGUGCAGUUCCACUUCCGGCUUUCUGGGGAACCUGCACGCUGUCUUCCCGAGUGGCUGCACCGUUGUUCGUUCCCACUGUGUGAAUUUUAGAACCGGCCCCUCCAUUGCUACGACAGCCUGCUGGGAUUGCGUCGGCAUCCUGUUGACUCUAGAUGAACUCGGAAGAAUCUCAACCAUAUUGAGGCUUCCGUCUCAUGAACGCGGUCCAGCUCUCCCUUAUUUCAGGCAUCUUUCACUUCUUUCAGUACGCCUCGUAGUUUGGUCUUGUUCACGGUUCAUCACAUUGAUACCCAAGCAUUUCCUGUUUCUAAUGACACUGUGAAUGGACCUGACUGAGUCUGAGUGUGAAGGCAGCCCCGGUCCUUGGGUGAGCCCCCGGUCCCUGUUCCACCGCAGCGUGUCACGCUUCUUCUGUGCAUCAGCUGUGCAUUGCCCGGCCACGCAGGGGUAGCGUCUGCGGUCAUGAAGGACUGGUCUUGACCUGACUGACGUCUCAGCGUGAAGGCAGCCCCAGUGUUUGGGUGAGCCCCCGGUGUUUGGGUGAGCCCCCUGUGUUUGGGUGAGCCCCUGGUCCCUGGGUGAGCCCCCGGUCUUUGGGCGAGCCCCUGGUCCCUGGAUGAGCCCCGGUCUUUGGGUGAGCCCCCUGUGUUUGGGUGAGCCCCAGUCUUUGGGUGAGCCCCCUGUGUUUGGGUGAGCCCCUGGUGUUUGGGUGAGCCCCAGUCUUUGGGUGAGCCCCUGGUCCCUGGGUGAGCCCCGGUCUUUGGGUGAGCCCCCGGUGUUUGGGUGAGCCCCUGGUCCCUGGGUGAGCCCCCAGUGUUUGGGCGAGCCCCCGGUCCCUGGGUGAGCCCUCAGUCCCUGGGUGAGCCCCCGGUCUUUGGGCGAGCCCCUGGUCCCUGGGUGAGCCCCAGUCUUUGGGUGAGCCCCCAGCCCCCGAUCCCGGGUCCACCACACGGUGUCACACUUCUCCUAUGUGUUGGGUCCACAUUGCCAGGCCUUGCAAGGGGUUGCAUCUGCACUCGGAAGGACUGGCCUGCGGUCUCCUUUUCUUGUGAUAGCUUGGUCUGGUUUAGCAUCGGGGGGAUGCUGGCCUCGGAGAGUUGCUUGGAAAAUGUCCUUUAGAAUUCACUUUUCUGGAGCCAUUUGUUUAGAAUGGGUGUUAUUUUUAUUUGAAUGUUUGGUAGAACUCAUCAGUGAAGCCAUUUGGGACAGUUUUCUCUGUGGGAAGGUUUUUAACGACAGCAUGAAUUGUUUCAGUAAACACAGGCUGUCUGUAUCAUCUUUUCUCUUUUUUUUUUUUGGAGACAGAGUCUUGCUCUGUCACCCAAGCUGGAGUGCAAUGGCACCAUCUCACCUCACUGCAACCUCCACCUCCUGGGUUCAAGCAAUUCUCCUGCCUCAGCCUCCCGAGUAGCUGGGAUUACAGGCAUGCGCCAUCACGCCCGGCUAAUUUGUGUAUUUUUAGGAGAAACGGGGUUUCACCAUGUUGGCCAUGCUGGUCUCGAACUCUUGACCUCAGGUGAUCCACCCGCCUUGGCGUCUCAAAGUGCUGGGAUGACAGGCGUGAGCCACCGCGCCCGGCCACUGCCACCCACUUUUAGACCGUCGGAUCUCACAAGAACUCAGGAUUACGAGAGCAGCAAGGGGGCUGUCCACCCUCAUCACCCAGUCACCCCCCAGCAGAGCCCUGCUCCAACACUCAGGAUCACAGUUCCCCCUAAGACUUGGGUGGGGACUCCGAGCCAAAGCCCACCACUGGUUCAUGUGACCCUGAAGACUCCUCCGGCUCCGCGAUGUCACUCGCUCACGUAGCUCGGCAGCGUUUUCACACAUCUUUACGUGUCUGCAGAUUGUCCUCUUGUCCCGUCACCCGCCGAGAAACGCGUGCUGAACUUGCCGGCCGUGGUUGUGGCGUCCUCCUUUGUCCUCUCACACCCGUCGGUCGGUGUCGGCGUGCCCUGUGCGAGUGUAGACGCUCAGGACUUUGUCCGCCUCGUGAGUCCCCCGCUCAGCAGCACCAUCACGUGGGCCUUGGGGCCGGUGGUGUUUCCUGCUCAGGGAGCUACUCUGAGGUCAGCAGAGCCAUAAUGGAAUAGGGUUCAGCAGUACACGGGCAGACGAUCCACACAGAGCAAGGUGUGUGAGUCCCACACGCGUGUGCUGAGCGAGGGAAGCCAGGUCUAAAAGUCCGCAGAUGGCCGGGUCCCGUUGCCGUGUCCUGGAAAAGGUGAACCGGAGCCACAGGGAGGAGGCCUGGGGGCCGUCGCCGUAGCAGACUGCGGAGGGCCGGAAGGGACUGUCAGGGCUGGCGGCCUCGUUCCCUGUCCUGGCCGUGCGGGUGGGCAUGCCGCUGCGUUGCCGGGCCCCACAAGGAGUCGGUCUUUCUGUGUGUCGAUCACGAAAAGACUUUUAAAAGUCAGAUCAGGGUGUCUGAUGUUUUAUUCCCUUUCUGAUAAGGAUUUUGUAACAUUCAGGUAAAACUGCUUUCCUUUGUAUCGUUUGCAUUUUAGAGUUGAUUAUCUCCAUUUACUUUAGGAUUAUUUUAAAUUAUGAGCUAAUUCAUUUGGAGGUAAUUUUCGGGUUUGGUGUGGUGGGGGGACUGUGUGCCCAGCACUCUCCCGCUCAGUUCUCAUCCCCCAGACGCCGGGGGUGCAGCUGUCUCUGGUUGCAGUGUCAUCCCUGUAGUCCCAGCACUUUGAGAGGCCAAGGCGGGAGGAUGGCUUGCGGCCAAGGGUUCCAGACCAGCCUCGGCAACAUAGUGAGACUUCACUGUAGAAAUUUUAAAAAUUACCCAGGCAUGAUAGCGCACACCUGUGGUCCCAGCUACUUGGGAGGCUAAGGUGGGAGGAUUGCUUGAGCCCGUGAAGUUGAGACUGCACUGAGCUGUGAUCACACACUGCACUCCAGCCUGGGCAACAGCAAGACCGUGUCUCGAAAAACAAGUAAAAUAAAAAAUGGAUCACACUGUGAUCACACACUGUACUCCAGCCUGUAGGUCUGGACACAUUAGACGCUAGCCUGUAGGGCUGGAUAGAUUUGAUGCUCCAUCCCUGCCACUGGGUCAUUACGGUGUGUCUUGCACACGGUGAGGAGCACAGAUGUGAAGGCUCACACAUCCCCCCAUCCCUGGGUGUUGAGCGCUUGGGGUUUGAAACCUGCACAGCCUGUGAGCCAGAAUGGUCUCAUGAGGUCAAAAGCGUGGGACUAGCACCAGCCCGAGGGCCCGGUGCUGCACCCAGCUCGUUCCCUCCCACCGCACCGGGACGCCCUUCCAGGUGGCCAGGGCCGAGCUCCGUCGGGAGCCGGCACGUGCCUGUGCGUCCUGCAGGGCCUGGCCCCUCCAGCUGCACAGGUGCGCCAGCCGGAGAGCGUCCUUUCCCAUAGCUGCACUGCAAUCCCCGCUGUGGCGCGCAGCCCCCUCCGCAGUCCCCCACGCCCUCCGUGGUCACUCCCGCCCUGCACCUGUCAGGACGACUCUGCCACAGUUUAUUCCUCUAGUCCCUGCUCUCACGUCCGGCUCCUCUCGCCUGGGGCACCGUGAACCAAGCAGCCGACAUCCCCAUCCGUGCAGGCUCUCACGGGCACAGGCCCUCUUCCCACUGGUGUGCUUCUGGGAGGACGGAUGCCCUGGCCGGGCCAUGGGGCUUUAUGCUCAGCCGCCCCGUGGGCCGCUUUCCCGGCAGUUGCGCGGCGUCCCAGUUCCCCCAGCAACGCGGAGGACACCCAGCUGCCUGGCAGCCUCGCGGGGUCUGGCGUCUUCAGUCCUUUUUGUCUCUGCCGCGCGUGUCAUGUUCUUGUUGCCACCUCUCCAUGCCCCGUGAACCCUGCCCUCACCAGCGCCAGUGCUGGGCGCUUCCCCUUGUCUACGGCCGCCGUGUACCCCUCUCCGGAGGGCAGCGCAUGUCCAGACUCGGUCGUGUUCGGGCCUGUUUCUCACUGAUGCUUAAAAUUCUGCCUCUGAGUCCCUCGUCAGAAUCUCGCCUUGCAGAGACAUUUCUCCCUCUGUGUCAUGUCCUGUCGUGGUGUUCCCCGUGCUGGUAGCUGACCCUGAGUCCUGCGCUGGGGCGGUGCAGCAGGCCGCUCUCUUCCUUCAGGGAGUGCACGUGUGUCCCAUGAAAGAAACCUUGGCCACGGCAGAGCCGUGCAGCGUCACUCGUUUCCUUCCAGGAGGGCCGCUGUUUGGCCUUUCACCCUUCGGGCUGGGAUCCCCUGGUAUUCAGUUUGUGUGAAGUGUGUUUGCCUGUGGAUAUUCCACGGGGCUCUGUCCCAACUCACUUCCUUCCCUUGCUCUCUUAGGCCACCGGUGCCUGACGGAGACUGACUGAGUCUUCAUUACUCUGACUUUACAGGAAGGGUUGAAACCGGGCGGUAGGACUUAUAUCCACCAACUUGGUCCCCCUGUGAGUUCUUUUGUGUUCCCUGGUAAGUUUUCACAUGAGCCUGUCCGUGUAUACUACAAACCCCAAAACAACAGGCCCUCGGUGCAUGUGGAUGGGGAUUGCUGGACUUUGGGUGGGGAUCGCGUGGACUCUGGGUCAACAGAGUCGUCUGGAGGAAAUUGCAGUCUGUGAACUCAGCAGUGAGGUCCACCUCACCACGUUGAGGUUGUCUUUAAUUUCACCCAGCCGUGCCCUGCAGUUUGCUUUGUAGACACUGUGUGUGAUUUUUGUUCCAUUUUUUCGUAGGUUGAUUUUUCAUGCUCUUGAUAGAUGGCAUUAUUGAAGAUUUUAUUUUCUAGUUGUUUGUUGCCAGUAUAUUGAAAUAAUUUAUUUUUGCAUAUUGUCCUUGGAUGCAGCAACUUUGCUGAAGAUACUUAUUAAUUCCCGUAUUUGGUAAGCAUUUGGAUUGUCUACACAGUGUGUUGCUUGUGAAUUAUGACGGUUCUGCCUCUUUCUGCCUGUCGGCGUAUCUUUCAGCCUUUCCCUUGCCUGCUGCCCUGGCUCGGCCGUCCAGGCGGCCUUGGUGGUGACACUGUCUUCUUGUUCCCAGCACAGGGAGGAAGUGUUCGUGUGUCAUCGCUGUCUGAGCAGCUGGGGUGUUUCGUAGAGGCCCUUUGUCUGAGCAUUCAGGCUGCUGUCACGAAACACCAUAGCCCGGGCAGCUCGUCACCAGCAAGACAUUUACUGUUCACAGGUCUGCAGGCUGGAAGAUCUCGGUGUGGCAGAGUGGUGCCUGGUUCAUCGACGGCGCCUUCCCGCUGCGUCCUCACGGGGUGGAAGGGGUGAGGGAGCUCUCUGGGGUCCCUUAGAAGGGGACUCAUCGCAUUCAUGAGGCCCCACCUCCCAACACCAUCGCCUCGGGGGAGAGGAUUUCAACACGUGGAUCUUGGGGACCCAGGCAUUCAGGCCAUAGCACCCUUUAUGAGAGUAAGAGUGUCCCUCCUGAUUCUGGUUUCCUGGUCUAUUAUUAUUAUGAUUUUUCAGUUAUUGCCGAGUUGGACUUGCUACUGUGUGUUCUGUGUGGGAUUUCUGCCUCUGCUCUCCAGUGAUAACUGGCCUGUGACUUCCUGUGUCCCUGACCGCGUCCAGGCUGUGCCAGCCUCGGAACAGGCACUGGGAAACGCCCCUCGUUUUUCUUCUCCAGGGGAAUGCAUGUGUGAUUUCUUCCUUCAAUGUUUGGUCGACUCAUGGGAGCAGCCUUUGGGGGCUGGAAUUUUCUUGGUGGAACAGUUUUAAAUUAUGGACACAAUUUCUUGCAGAAACAGCUCUUUCAGAUUUUCUAUUGUAGUUUAUUUUUUGACUUGUUCAUCAGGGAGUCUGUUUCACCAGUCAUCUGACUUAUAGGCAUAAAGUGAUUCAUGAGCAUCCACUAUCUGAUGUUUGUAGGAUCUGUAGUUACAGCUGACAUGGCUAAUCUGUAUUUGCUCUCUUUUUUUUUUUUUUUUUUUUUUUU